rnacentral:rRNA from 1 species
GAUAAACGCUGGCGGCGUGCAUGAGACAUGCAAGUCGAACGAAGGAUCGGGCUUGCUCGAUCCUUAGUGGCGGACGGCUGAGUAACGCGUAGGUGACCUACCCCGAAGUGGGGAAUAACUGCCCGAAAGGGUGGCUAGUACCGCAUGUGGUCGCACGUUCAUUCGUGCGAGUAAAGCCGCAAGGCGCUUCGGGAGGGGCCUGCGUCCGAUUAGCUCGUUGGUGGGGUAAUGGCUUACCAAGGCGACGAUCGGUAGGUGGUCUGAGAGGACGAUCACCCAGACUGGGACUGAGACACGGCCCAGACUCCUACGGGAGGCAGCAGUCGGGAAUUUUGCUCAAUGGGGGAAACCCUGAAGCAGCAACGCCGCGUGAGGGAUGAAGGCCUUCGGGUUGUAAACCUCUUUUGUCAGGGACGAUGAUGACGGUACCUGGCGAAUAAGCCACGGCUAACUACGUG